GACGGACCAAAGAUAGAGGGCGAUCUACAUAAAUGGACGAUUCACAGUGCCCCUUUUGGAGUCUGCACAGACGAGAAGAUUGGUGGUAUCACACAAUGUUGACAAGGCCCUUAAAGAAGAAAGGAAUGGAGAAGACACCCUGAAGAGACCUUGAAAUGGCUGAAAGACUGACUAACCUCUACGGAUCGGUGUCCCUAUACCGGGACGGUUGAGCUAAUGUGCGCUAACGUGAUUAGCAUGACAGUUGUAAGUAACACCAAACAUUCCAGGACAUAGACAUGUCUUAUAUGGGCAGAAAGCAUAAAUUCUUGUUAAUCUAAUAAUAAUAAUUCA